AUUGAACGCUGGCGGCAUGCCUUACACAUGCAAGUCGAACGGCAGCACGGGGCAACCUGGUGGCGAGUGGCGAACGGGUGAGUAAUGCAUCGGAACGUACCUUUCAGUGGGGGAUAACGUAGCGAAAGUUACGCUAAUACCGCAUAUUCUGUGAGCAGGAAAGCAGGGGAUCGCAAGACCUUGCGCUGAUUGAGCGGCCGAUGUCAGAUUAGCUAGUUGGUGAGGUAAAGGCUCACCAAGGCGACGACCUGUAGCGGGUCUGAGAGGAUGGUCCGCCACACUGGAACUGAGACACGGUCCAGACUCCUACGGGAGGCAGCAGUGGGGAAUUUUGGACAAUGGGGGCAACCCUGAUCCAGCCAUGCCGCGUGAGUGAAGAAGGCCUUCGGGUUGUAAAGCUCUUUCGGCCGGGAAGAAAUCGCACGGGCUAAUACCCUGUGUGGAUGACGGUACCGGAAUAAGAAGCACCGGCUAACUACGUGCCAGCCGCCGCCGUAAAAC
rnacentral:rRNA from 1 species